rnacentral:rRNA from 1 species
GGGUUGUGAGGUUAAGCGACUAAGCGUACACGGUGGAUGCCCUGGCAGUCAGAGGCGAUGAAGGGCGUGCUAAUCUGCGAUAAGCGCCGGUAAGGUGAUAUGAACCGUUAUAACCGGCGAUACCCGAAUGGGGAAACCCAGUGUGAUUCGUCACACUAUCAUUAACUGAAUCCAUAGGUUAAUGAGGCGAACCGGGGGAACUGAAACAUCUAAGUACCCCGAGGAAAAGAAAUCAACCGAGAUUCCCCCAGUAGCGGCGAGCGAACGGGGAGGAGCCCAGAGCCUGAAUCAGCAUGUGUGUUAGUGGAAGCGUCUGGAAAGGCGCGCGAUACAGGGUGACAGCCCCGUACACAAAAGCGCAUGUGCUGUGAGCUCGAUGAGUAGGGCGGGACACGUGGUAUCCUGUCUGAAUAUGGGGGGACCAUCCUCCAAGGCUAAAUACUCCUGACUGACCGAUAGUGAACCAGUACCGUGAGGGAAAGGCGAAAAGAACCCCGGCGAGGGGAGUGAAAAAGAACCUGAAACCGUGUACGUACAAGCAGUGGGAGCNNNNNNNNNNNNNNNNNNNNNNNNNNNNNNNNNNNNNNNNNNNNNNNNNNNNNNNNNNNNNNNNNNNNGGGCGUUAAGUUGCAGGGUAUAGACCCGAAACCCGGUGAUCUAGCCAUGGGCAGGUUGAAGGUUGGGUAACACUAACUGGAGGACCGAACCGACUAAUGUUGAAAAAUUAGCGGAUGACCUGUGGCUGGGGGUGAAAGGCCAAUCAAACCGGGAGAUAGCUGGUUCUCCCCGAAAGCUAUUUAGGUAGCGCCUCGUGAAUUCAUCUCCGGGGGUAGAGCACUGUUUCGGCUAGGGGGCCAUCCCGGCUUACCAACCCGAUGCAAACUGCGAAUACCGGAGAAUGUUAUCACGGGAGACACACGGCGGGUGCUAACGUCCGUCGUGAAGAGGGAAACAACCCAGACCGCCAGCUAAGGUCCCAAAGUCAUGGUUAAGUGGGAAACGAUGUGGGAAGGCCCAGACAGCCAGGAUGUUGGCUUAGAAGCAGCCAUCAUUUAAAGAAAGCGUAAUAGCUCACUGGUCGAGUCGGCCUGCGCGGAAGAUGUAACGGGGCUAAACCAUGCACCGAAGCUGCGGCAGCGACACUGUGUGUUGUUGGGUAGGGGAGCGUUCUGUAAGCCUGCGAAGGUGGCCUGUGAGGGUUGCUGGAGGUAUCAGAAGUGCGAAUGCUGACAUAAGUAACGAUAAAGCGGGUGAAAAGCCCGCUCGCCGGAAGACCAAGGGUUCCUGUCCAACGUUAAUCGGGGCAGGGUGAGUCGACCCCUAAGGCGAGGCCGAAAGGCGUAGUCGAUGGGAAACGGGUUAAUAUUCCCGUACUUGGUGUUACUGCGAAGGGGGGACGGAGAAGGCUAUGUUGGCCGGGCGACGGUUGUCCCGGUUUAAGCGUGUAGGUGUGUGUUCCAGGUAAAUCCGGUUCACUUUAACACUGAGGCGUGACGACGAGGCACUACGGUGCUGAAGCAACAAAUGCCCUGCUUCCAGGAAAAGCCUCUAAGCAUCAGGUAACAUCAAAUCGUACCCCAAACCGACACAGGUGGUCAGGUAGAGAAUACCAAGGCGCUUGAGAGAACUCGGGUGAAGGAACUAGGCAAAAUGGUGCCGUAACUUCGGGAGAAGGCACGCUGACACGUAGGUGAAGUGAUUUACUCAUGGAGCUGAAGUCAGUCGAAGAUACCAGCUGGCUGCAACUGUUUAUUAAAAACACAGCACUGUGCAAACACGAAAGUGGACGUAUACGGUGUGACGCCUGCCCGGUGCCGGAAGGUUAAUUGAUGGGGUCAGCGCAAGCGAAGCUCCUGAUCGAAGCCCCGGUAAACGGCGGCCGUAACUAUAACGGUCCUAAGGUAGCGAAAUUCCUUGUCGGGUAAGUUCCGACCUGCACGAAUGGCGUAAUGAUGGCCAGGCUGUCUCCACCCGAGACUCAGUGAAAUUGAACUCGCUGUGAAGAUGCAGUGUACCCGCGGCAAGACGGAAAGACCCCGUGAACCUUUACUAUAGCUUGACACUGAACAUUGAGCCUUGAUGUGUAGGAUAGGUGGGAGGCUUUGAAGUGUGGACGCCAGUCUGCAUGGAGCCGACCUUGAAAUACCACCCUUUAAUGUUUGAUGUUCUAACGUGGACCCGUUACCCGGGUUGCGGACAGUGUCUGGUGGGUAGUUUGACUGGGGCGGUCUCCUCCUAAAGAGUAACGGAGGAGCACGAAGGUUGGCUAAUCCUGGUCGGACAUCAGGAGGUUAGUGCAAUGGCAUAAGCCAGCUUGACUGCGAGCGUGACGGCGCGAGCAGGUGCGAAAGCAGGUCAUAGUGAUCCGGUGGUUCUGAAUGGAAGGGCCAUCGCUCAACGGAUAAAAGGUACUCCGGGGAUAACAGGCUGAUACCGCCCAAGAGUUCAUAUCGACGGCGGUGUUUGGCACCUCGAUGUCGGCUCAUCACAUCCUGGGGCUGAAGUAGGUCCCAAGGGUAUGGCUGUUCGCCAUUUAAAGUGGUACGCGAGCUGGGUUUAGAACGUCGUGAGACAGUUCGGUCCCUAUCUGCCGUGGGCGCUGGAGAACUGAGGGGGGCUGCUCCUAGUACGAGAGGACCGGAGUGGACGCAUCACUGGUGUUCGGGUUGUCAUGCCAAUGGCACUGCCCGGUAGCUAAAUGCGGAAGAGAUAAGUGCUGAAAGCAUCUAAGCACGAAACUUGCCCCGAGAUGAGUUCUCCCUGAGACUUAAAGUCUCCUGAAGGAACGUUGAAGACGACGACGUUGAUAGGCCGGGUGUGUAAGCGCAGCGAUGCGUUGAGCUAACCGGUACUAAUGAACCGUGAGGCUUAACCUUACAACGCCGAAG